GAUGAACGCUGGCGGCGUGCCUAAUACAUGCAAGUCGAGCGAACAGACGAGGAGCUUGCUCCUUCGACGUUAGCGGCGGACGGGUGAGUAACACGUAGGUAACCUACCUAUAAGACUGGGAUAACUUCGGGAAACCGGAGCUAAUACCGGAUAAUAUUUCGAACCGCAUGGUUCGAUAGUGAAAGACGGCUUUGCUGUCACUUAUAGAUGGACCUGCGCCGUAUUAGCUAGUUGGUAAGGUAACGGCUUACCAAGGCAACGAUACGUAGCCGACCUGAGAGGGUGAUCGGCCACACUGGAACUGAGACACGGUCCAGACUCCUACGGGAGGCAGCAGUAGGGAAUCUUCCGCAAUGGGCGAAAGCCUGACGGAGCAACGCCGCGUGAGUGAUGAAGGUCUUCGGAUCGUAAAACUCUGUUAUUAGGGAAGAACAAACGUGUAAGUAACUGUGCACGUCUUGACGGUACCUAAUCAGAAAGCCACGGCUAACUACGUG
rnacentral:rRNA from 1 species